CACCCUUGUAGUGUUGAUGUUCUAACGUCGACCCCUUAUCGGGGUUGCGGACAGUGCCUGGUGGGUAGUUUGACUGGGGCGGUCUCCUCCCAAAGAGUAACGGAGGAGCACGAAGGUGGGCUAAUCACGGUUGGACAUCGUGAGGUUAGUGCAAUGGCAUAAGCCCGCUUGACUGCGAGAAUGACAAUUCGAGCAGGUGCGAAAGCAGGUCAUAGUGAUCCGGUGGUUCUGAAUGGAAGGGCCAUCGCUCAACGGAUAAAAGGUACUCCGGGGAUAACAGGCUGAUACCGCCCAAGAGUUCAUAUCGACGGCGGUGUUUGGCACCUCGAUGUCGGCUCAUCACAUCCUGGGGCUGAAGUCGGUCCCAAGGGUAUGGCUGUUCGCCAUUUAAAGUGGUACGCGAGCUGGGUUUAGAACGUCGUGAGACAGUUCGGUCCCUAUCUGCCGUGGGCGUUGGAAGAUUGAAGGGGGCUGCUCCUAGUACGAGAGGACCGGAGUGGACGAACCUCUGGUGUUCGGGUUGUGUCGCCAGACGCAUUGCCCGGUAGCUAAGUUCGGAAUCGAUAACCGCUGAAAGCAUCUAAGCGGGAAGCGAGCCCUGAGAUGAGUCUUCCCUGAUACUUUAAGUAUCCUAAAGGGUUGUCGGAGACUACGACGUUGAUAGGUCAGGUGUGUAAGUGCUGUGAGGCAUUGAGCUAACUGAUACUAAUUGCCCGUGAGGCUUAACCAUACAACACC
rnacentral:rRNA from 1 species